GAUAAUUUAUUUAUUGCCUAAUACAUUCAUUUGCCAGCUGAAUACAAAUAGAGCUUUCACUAAUAAAUCCAACUGCCAGCUUGUUUUUGCCUCAAUCAAAUCCAAUGUCCCUACAGUAAACCAAAGAUAAACUACUGUCCUGGCAUUGAUAGUGACAUAAAUGAAUACCAUUUCCCAGUUCCAAUCGGGAAAAGGACUGGAUGCUUAGCUUAACAUAAAGCAACCAAAGACGAGAAUUAUCAACACAGAGAUAAACAACCUUAUAUAUGAACAAUUUGUCAAAAGGGACCACUAACAUAAACCUCCAAGCCUCCAAAUGUCAGUUAUGCUAAUAAAUUCCCUGUACUUCUACAGUAACACGUUAGUUGGGGAUAACUCGAAUCCUAUCCUGCGCACGCCCAGUGUCAUUUAUACACUGGGUCGUAAGAUGCACGAUUGGAACCCUGUACCAAGCGAUGCUAAAUAGCAAAUACAUUCUGUAAAUGUCUAUCUUAGCACGUUAGUCCUACGCCCAGUGUAGAUACACACACAGCCAUAAGAUGCACGAUGGAGACACUUGAAACCAAGUGAUGCUAAAUAC
rnacentral:lncRNA from 1 species